GGGAGUAUAGCUCAGGUGGUAGAGCAGCCUUCUCAUAAGAGGCUCGUCGUAGGUACCCUUCGGGAACGCUUCGCGAACAAGUCCUACUACUCCUA
rnacentral:tRNA from 1 species